AUUGAACGCUGGCGGCAGGCCUAACACAUGCAAGUCGAGCGGAUGAAGGGAGCUUGCUCCUGGAUUCAGCGGCGGACGGGUGAGUAAUGCCUAGGAAUCUGCCUGGUAGUGGGGGAUAAUGUCCGGAAACGGGCGCUAAUACCGCAUACGUCCUGAGGGAGAAAGUGGGGGAUCUUCGGACCUCACGCUAUCAGAUGAGCCUAGGUCGGAUUAGCUAGUUGGUGGGGUAAAGGCCUACCAAGGCGACGAUCCGUAACUGGUCUGAGAGGAUGAUCAGUCACACUGGAACUGAGACACGGUCCAGACUCCUACGGGAGGCAGCAGUGGGGAAUAUUGGACAAUGGGCGAAAGCCUGAUCCAGCCAUGGCGCGUGUGUGAAGAAGGUCUUCGGAUUGUAAAGCACUUUAAGUUGGGAGGAAGGGCAGUAAGUUAAUACCUUGCUGUUUUGACGUUACCAACAGAAUAAGCACCGGCUAACUUCGUG
rnacentral:rRNA from 1 species